GUGCUCGCUUCGGCAGCACAUAUACUAAAAUGGGAAUGUUACAGAGAAGGCUGGCAUGGCCCCCGUGCAGGGGACACACAGAUCCAGGAACUGUUCCAUAUUUUU